CCAAGCCCCAUCCAACCUGGCCUUGAACACUGCCAGGGAUGGGGUAGCCGCAGCUUCUCUGGGCACCCUGUGCCGGUGCCUCACUGCCCUCAUAGUAAAGAACUUCUUCCUUAUAUCUAAUCUAAAUCUCCC